UGUGAAUUGUUCACUAGCUGUGUGAACAGAUGCAUGAUGAUUUAUGAUUGUGAUUAUGAUGCUAAGCAGGGUGUAUGAAUUAUAUUUGAGAUGUUGAGAGAGCAUAGCUGUUUGAGGUUUUGAGCUCCAGAGUCUUUGUUGAUAUAUUUACUAUUUUGUGGUGUUGAUAAAGGUUCAAGUUUGGGGUUGUUGGGGGAAAUUGAAAGGCAAAAGAAAGGCAUUGAGCUCAAGUGUUGAAUGAAAAAAAAAAAAGCAUGAGAAAAGAAAGAAAAGAAAAAGAAAAAGCAUGAAAGGUGAACUCAAUGUAAAAGAAAAAGGAAAAAGGGAAAGCUAGGAAUGAGUGAGAUUGGUAAAAAGAGAGUUUGUGCUUCAACUAUGAUUACGUAAAUAACUCUAUUAACUCAAGGAUUUUGUGAUCUGAAAUACCAAUGUUUCUUGUUAAGAACAACCACAGUAUAAGCCUUGAAAAAGUCCUUGUGAUGACCUUUGUGUAUAAAGAUGUUGAUUGUAUUAGAUGAAUGUCAAUUUUGUUUCAUGAGAUAGGUGAAUAGUAGAGAGAAG
rnacentral:lncRNA from 1 species